rnacentral:lncRNA from 1 species
CCAGUUCUUAACUGGGAGGGAGCUUUUCCACGAUAUCUUAACCGGGACCAAUGCCAAAGCUGGGGUAGAAAUUUAUGCUCCCCAAUUUUUUGCUCGGCAGCUUGGUUUCGGCCAAACUUGGCCUGUUCCUCUUUGCUAUUCGAAGAACUUAAACGACCGUUUUCAUACCAUUAAUAAGGUGGAAGCAGAGGCUAUAAACGCUCGCAACCUCCACUUAUCAAGCCAUUUUUCAUUAGCCCCUUUUAAUCCUUGUCAUGCUACUCACCCUCUUUUCGAACAACUUUGGCCAUCGGUGAAGCGCAGAUUAUUUGCGACUGAGGCCAAUCGUGCCUUUCAUUCAUUAGACCAACCGAGUAUUUCUUCUCCUCCUCCUGUUUUGGCCACUCCUUUGUCUAUUCGGAACCCCUCUCCUUCUCGUCGUACUAAACAAUCUGCUCGUCCAUCUUCUUCCCUCCCUGCCAGGCCAACUAUGGCCAAGAGUGCUCCAAGCCGCAAACGGCCAGCCUCAGCAUCUCCCAUUCUGGAGGAUGAUGUUGAUGAUGAUGAUGAUGAUGUCCCUCUUAUCGUUAAAAGGAAGGUACUUAAAUUGGCCUAUUUACAAGUAUGCUCUUCCCCAUUUGAAAAUUUUCUGUGUACUGAUGAUCUUUUGGACUUUUCAGAAAAGCUCAGCUUCCCCUUCAAAGGCUUUGGCAUUACCAACUCCUGCUCCAUCAUCCCCUGUUGAGGCUACUUCAUCCAAACCGGUUGAUGAUGGGACCAUGCUUAAAGGUAUAUCUUCAGUCCCAGAUUCUUCAUCACAACCCAUGAAUGAGCCGCCUUCCUCCCAGGGCGUCGACCCCCCAAUCACCGAAGCAGAAGGUAAUUCAGUUUUUGAUGUCUUACCUUUGCUCGUGUUAUUGGUUUCUGACUGGUUGCUCUUUGAACUUUGCAGAUACUCCCAUGAGUCCGCCC